rnacentral:rRNA from 1 species
UACAGGGGGUGCAAACGUUGCUCGGAAUCAUUGGGCGUAAAGCGCACGUAGGCGGUCUGUUAUGUCGGAUGUGAAAGCCCUUGGCUCAACCGAGGAACUGCAUCCGAUACUGGCGGGCUUGAAUCCGGGAGAGGGAUGUGGAAUUCCAGGUGUAGCGGUGAAAUGCGUAGAUAUCUGGAGGAACACCGGUGGCGAAGGCGGCAUCCUGGACCGGUAUUGACGCUGAGGCGCGAAAGCUAGGGGAGCAAACGGG